rnacentral:rRNA from 1 species
UACGGAGGGUGCAAGCGUUAUCCGGAUUCACUGGGUUUAAAGGGUGCGUAGGUGGAUAAGUAAGUCAGUGGUGAAAUCUCCGGGCUCAACCCGGAAACUGCCCAUUGAUACUAUCUGUCUUGAAUAUCGUGGAGGUAAGCGGAAUAUGUCAUGUAGCGGUGAAAUGCUUAGAUAUGACAUAGAACACCAAUUGCGAAGGCA